UCUUCCACCUCACGGUCUUCACCUCCCCAACUCCUGUGGUUGCUGCAAACAUUCAUCAUCUUUCCUGUAAAUUCUAUGUUCGUCGAAUCUCCCAUGUAUCAAGCGAGUGGUCUUUGCUGUUUUACUCAAUUGCACGCAAUCAGACAAGAAGUAGAAGUAUUUUCGUAUUGAAGUUUAGAUUCUGUAGCCUGAAUAUAAUUUCCAGGUUGGAUUAGGUCAAGGGUGAACUGUCAGAGGAGUUGAUGGUAUGCGAAAAGGGAGGAGAGAAGGAAACUUGCGAUUGAGGACUCGCUGUGGUUUUUUUUUCUAGCAGGUUGCUGUGACCUUUGGGACACCUCUUACAGUCAUAGGAGACAGAAUCUCGGAGAUUUACUGUUGCAGAGGGAAAGUGUGAGAGGGUCAUAAGUGGGGCGAUGGCGAUGACGAUGGCGGUGGUGGGGCGGAGAUUACAGAAGCUAGUGAGAAGCAUGUCGAUACAAAGUGUUGCAAACACCGCAUGCUCAGCCCCGUCCUCUGUGAUGUGAUCAUAGCUGAGAAGCGCACGUUAGAGCACUAGGUUUCAUCAAGCUAUCUCGAGAGCAUGUCGACGAGGUAUUCAUGGGAAAUGUUUUUAGUUAAGGUGUAGGUCAACCUUCGGCUCGCUAAGCCGCUUUGCGGUUAUGUUUGGAGCACAAAGCAUAAUGUUAGGAUUCAAUCAGGUGGUUGUUGCUGGUGGCAUGGAAAAUAUGUCCAAUGCACCCUUCAUUCUGCAACGGAAUCUCUCUGUUCAGAAGAUGGGUCAUGUCCAGCUAAAAGAUGUAAUGGUUCAUGCUGGCCUUCGGGAUCCAUGUAAAGGCCGAUGUGUUGGCAGCUGCGGUGAACUUUUCUUAGACAAGUUCUGUAUUUCUCACGAGGCAUAGGUAUUUUAUAACCAUUAAUUCUUUACCUGUUUCAUAUAUUCUUGGACCUACGUCGAAUGAAUGGGAGCUUUAAAGUAUUCGCCUCA